AUUGAACGCUGGCGGCAGGCUUAACACAUGCAAGUCGAGCGGAGAUGAGGUGCUUGCACCUUAUCUUAGCGGCGGACGGGUGAGUAAUGCUUAGGAAUCUGCCUAUUAGUGGGGGACAACAUUCCGAAAGGAAUGCUAAUACCGCAUACGCCCUACGGGGGAAAGCAGGGGAUCUUCGGACCUUGCGCUAAUAGAUGAGCCUAAGUCGGAUUAGCUAGUUGGUGGGGUAAAGGCCUACCGAGGCGACGAUCUGUAGCGGGUCUGAGAGGAUGAUCCGCCACACUGGGACUGAGACACGGCCCAGACUCCUACGGGAGGCAGCAGUGGGGAAUAUUGGACAAUGGGCGGAAGCCUGAUCCAGCCAUGCCGCGUGUGUGAAGAAGGCCUUUUGGUUGUAAAGCACUUUAAGCGAGGAGGAGGCUACUGAGACUAAUACUCUUGGAUAGUGGACGUUACUCGCAGAAUAAGCACCGGCUAACUCUGUGCCAGCCGCCGCAGUAAAAC
rnacentral:rRNA from 1 species